CAGCAGCCGCGGUAAUACGAAGGGUGCAAGCGUUAAUCGGAAUUACUGGGCGUAAAGCGCGCGUAGGUGGUUUGGUAAGAUGGAUGUGAAAUCCCCGGGCUCAACCUGGGAACUGCAUCCAUAACUGCCUGACUAGAGUACGGUAGAGGGUGGUGGAAUUUCCUGUGUAGCGGUGAAAUGCGUAGAUAUAGGAAGGAACACCAGUGGCGAAGGCGACCACCUGGACUGAUACUGACACUGAGGUGCGAAGCGUGGGGAGCAAACAGGAUUAGAUACCCCAGUAGUCCCUGUCUCUUAUACC
rnacentral:rRNA from 1 species